rnacentral:rRNA from 1 species
CGNAUUUGGACAAUGGGCGCAGCCUGAUCAGCCAUACCGCGUGGGUGAAGAAGGCCUUCGGGUUGUAAAGCCCUUUUGUUGGGAAAGAAAUCCAGCCGGCUAAUACCUGGNUUGGGAUGACGGUACCCAAAGAAUAAGCACCGGCUAACUNCGUGCCAGCAGCCGCGGUAAUACGAAGGGUGCAAGCGUUACUCGNGAAUUACUGGGCGUAAAGCGUGCGUAGGUGGUUGUUUAAGUCUGUUGUGAAAGCCCUGGGCUCAACCUGGGAACUGCANUGGAAACUGGACGACUAGAGUGUGGUAGAGGGUAGCGGAAUUCCUGGUGUAGCAGUGAAAUGCGUACAGAUCAGGAGGAACAUCCAUGGCGAAGGCAGCUACCUGNACCAACACUGACACUGAGGCACGAAAGCGUGGGGAGCAAACAGGAUUAGAUACCCUGUGUAGUCCACGCCCCUACACGAUGCGAACUGNAUGUUGGGUGCCCUUUGGCANGCANNAUCGACNCUAACNCGUUNANUNCCCCCGCCUGGGGANUACGGGUCNCAACGACUNGAACACUCAACGGCAAUUGNCGGGNNNCCCCNCAACACCGACUGGACUUUNGUGGUUUAACCCCNNAUUNCCNCCCCCCAAANAC